UUAAGACUUUAAUUUAAAGUAAAACCUGCUCAAUGACAUGAAUAAAUAGCCGCAGUUAACUGUGCUAAGGUAGCAUAAUAACUUGCUUUCUAAUUAAAAGAUAGAAUGAAAGGUCUAACAUUAGAAACCUGUCUCUAUAAAAAAAAUUAAGUUGAGUAAAAAGUCAAAACUCUUUUAAAAAAUAGUGGGACGACAAGACCCUGAUAAACUUAACAUUUAGUUGGGGAAACAUAACAAAAAAAUUUUAUUAAAAUAAUUACACAACUUUAAAAUAAAAUAAAGACAAGUUACUACAGGGAUAACAGCGUUAUUUUCUUUAAGAGCCCUUAUCUAAAAGAAAGAUUACGACCUCGAUGUUGAAUUAAUUGUCCUAUAACUAGCGCAACAGCUAUAAAAGGUAGUCUGUUCGACUAUUAAAAAAUU
rnacentral:rRNA from 1 species